AGGAUUAGCAAAAAACCUUUUGAGCACAUACCUAUAACUGUUCGCUUCCGCAGGUUCCCCUCGAAGCGACCCUCCCGGCCUCCCGCCUCCGGGCGGGUCGGCGCCCGCCGGAGGAUAACCAAACUCUGAUUUAACGACGUUUCUUCUGAGUGGUACAAGCAAAUAAUCAAAACUUUUAACAACGGAUCUCUUGGUUCUGGCAUCGAUGAAGAACGCAGCGAAAUGCGAUAAGUAAUGUGAAUUGCAGAAUUCAGUGAAUCAUCGAAUCUUUGAACGCACAUUGCGCCCGCCAGCAUUCUGGCGGGCAUGCCUGUUCGAGCUCAUUUCAACCCUCAAGCUCUGCUUGGUGUUGGGGCCCUACAGCUGAUGUAGGCCCUCAAGGUAGUGGCCUCCUUUGCGUAGUAACUUUACCGGACCCUCUCGGAGGUCUCGCACUGGGAUCCGGAGGGACUCUUGCCGUAAAACCCCCAAUUUUCCAAAGGUUGACCUCGGAUCAGGUAGGAAUACCCGCUGAACUUAGCAUAUCAAUAAGUGGGAGGAAA
rnacentral:rRNA from 1 species